rnacentral:rRNA from 3 species
UGGUAACAAGGUUUCCGUAGGUGAACCUGCGGAAGGAUCAUUG